UUGCUUUCUCAGCACAUAUAUAAAAUUGGAAGGCUACAGAGAAGAUUACCAUGGCUUCUGUGCAAGGAUGGCACAUACAUUUGGGAAGCACUCCAUAUUUUU
ensembl:snRNA U6 U6 spliceosomal RNA